rnacentral:lncRNA from 10 species
CUCCUGCCAGCUCCCACCCUUCAGAGUGUACUUUCAUUUUCAAUAAAUCUCUGCUUUGAUUGUUUCGUUCUUUCCUUGCUUUGCUGUAUAUUUUAUCCAAUUCUUUGUUCAAAACAUCAAGAACCUGGACAACUUGCAGUCAAGACCCUCCACCAGCAACAACAUACUCUGUCUUUUUUUCCUUCUAAAAUAUUGAAAGCUUCAUAAAGUUAGGAGCUUCACCAUCCUGUAGCUGCAUCAUCUGCAACACUGAGCUUCCUUGAUCAAUAAACAAGAACAGACUGUUGGAGGCCUCAUCCUACCAAUUCAACGCUAUGGCCUGUAAGUGACAAAAACCACUUCUACUGACAGCCUUUGGCUGUCAGAAAUUGGCUGCAUGGACAAGAUUAGAUGCAAGAAUAAAUUAUGUUUAUCCUCUUAUUUGCCCAGAAAGAGAAGUAAAAGAAAUAUGGGUAAGCAUUCCCACUCCCACAUUAUCUACCUCUGUGUUUCUCAAAUUACAUUUUCUUGUCCAGAGCCAAUUUUUUUUUUUUAAGCUAGUAAGGAGAUCAGGGUAGGGAAGUGGAGACAUUAUCAGGGGAGGGAGCGAGUUGGGGUGGUCUCAAGCAGUUUGUUUAUAUCUCAGAAAUGGUGGUAGAAUUAAAGUCACCAAAAAACACAAGCCCUCAUCUCCACUGCUGUUCUAUUUCACUUCCCUGUGCACAUACGCCUCAUAAUCUGAAGCUACAAGGCAAACUCCUUAUUAUGCCUUAUAGGACUAUAGGAUUAAUAGAUUUGCAUAUAGAAAUAUUGUUUAAUAUUUGCAUUUUAAUAUGUAAUAUGUAAUCCUCAAUUGUUUCUUGAGUAAUUACUCUAAUAUUAUCUCUACUAUUUUUAUUACUACUUCUACUGUUAUAAUUACUUACUAUUAGUUAAUAUUUAUUGGUCUACUGAGCUAAGCAAUUUAAAUAUGCAUAAUUUUCAAAACAAACAUACAAUGUAAGUGUAAUUAUCCCCAUUUACUGUAAAUAAAUUGGACAACAAAGAAAUUUAUAAUUUGUUAAAUAAUGAAUCCAGAUCUAUCUGACUCCAAAGUCCGUGAUGUUCAACACUAUGGGUAACAUACAGAGUAAUAGGGAUUUAUUCUCAUGCCAUCAUCUGUAAUCAGCUAUCUUAAUACCUAAGGUUCUAGGGUGGCAGGGUAGCUGUGCUAGUUGCUGAAAACGUUUCACACAG